GUCUUCUUCCUGGAUAGCUCAGCUGGUUAGAGUAUGGCACUGAUAACACCAAGGUUGCAAGUUUAAUCCCAGCAUGGGACA